rnacentral:sRNA from 1 species
AUUUUAUACAAGUUUAUCCUUGUUUGGCACACCAUUUUGAAAAAAAAGCUGUUGAAUUGGCAGGUUGUAGGUAGGAUCAAUUUGGAAACUUUUAUUUUGCUUUUCUUAUGUGAACAUUAUAUACUUUUGAAAAGGAUGGAAAUGCUCCCCAGUAGAGAUAUUGCCCCUCUGAUUCUGUGAAAGGAAAAAAAAACAUUUAUAUGAUCAGAUAAUGGCAACCCCUGUAGUUAAAAAAGACUGUGACUUAAAUUGUCCUAUUUGCUUGGAGAAGUCCAACCUUCCCAAGAAGUUGCCUUGUUUACACACAUUUUGUGAGCUUUGUAUCCAAAGUUAUGUUCAAGCGUCAGAAACCACAGAAGAUAAUAAAUUCUUCCGCUGUCCCCUGUGUCGUUUCAAGAUAGAGUGGUCAACCCUGUCAGCUAGUGAAUGGACCCAGUCUAAGUUACAAACCGAUCACAUGGUUUUGUCUCUUCUUGAACGUGAAACAAAUGACUCAACACCCAAACAAGUAUAUUGUGAACCGUGCAAGUUUGCCAGCGAAAAUAAUAUAGCAGUUUAUCACUGCAGAGAUUGUAAAGAGUGCUUUUGCGAACAAUGCUUUAACUACUUGCAUAAGCGGAAGAGAGACAACAAUUUGCACACUGUGACAGGUAUAACGCCAGAUACAGAUCUGAUCCCACUGGAAAUGGAUGAACCAUGCCCUCUACAUUCUGACAAAGUUCUGGAAGUUUUUGUUUUGAUCAUAAAAAGCUGUGUUGUAGUAUCUGCUUUGCGACUGACCACAGGAAAUGCGAUACCGUGGCUUCUCUUGAUUAGAUUGCAAAUGAGAAAAAGAGACCUUUGAUAUAGAUGAUUUUUUAAACCAAUUGUCUGAAGCUGAACAAUGUACACAGUCAGCGAUAGACAAAGCAAAGGAAAAUCUCGGUCGGAUCAACAGCGACAAAGAAUCUAUGUUGCAGUCCAUUGAAGACAUCAUAUCCGGUACAGAGUCCCAUUUGGAUACUCUACACGAAGAACUGAAACUGUCAAUAGAAAAGAGGUUUUCAGACAUUGAAAAUUGUUAACAGUUUGAUAUGGAAUGCUUAAUUGCCUUUCAGAAAACAUUGAUCCAUGACAAAAGCAUUACAGUGAAGCAAUUAAAGAUCACGGCAGUAUAAGACAGAAAUUUGUCACCUUGGAAAAAACAAAAGAUACUCUCGAAAAACACUUUGAAAGGCUCUGUCUGGCAUUUAACUUUUCUGAUGCAAAAAUACUUGUCUUAGAAAUCGAGGAUAAAUUAAAAGAUGUGCAAAUGCUUUCAAAAUUAGCUUCCUCGGAGUUAGAACAAUUGGAUGAAAACGUCAUGACAGAUAUCAAGAACACAUUAUGUCCGUUAGGCUGUAUUGGUGACCAUGUUACAUUCCAGGGAUCUUUUCCGGUGAGUGACGACUCUUUUCCGCAGGUCAGUGACCCCUUCUUUUUUUGCAAAAACAUUAUCAAAGUGGAGAAUAAAAUUUUAUAAAAAAGAGGGUAAAUUUAGUAUAUAUUUGGAAUGCCUUUCGCUCGAUUGUACCAACAGUUCCUACGAAGUAUCAGCAGAAUUCUGCCUUGUGAAUCAGACUGACAGGAAAAACGACACAAUUAGAAGAUUAAGCGGCACCCGCCAGUUCUGUUAUGAUAGUCGAUGCUGGGGUUUCUCUUAAUUUAUAGACUGGCAAAUGCUGGAAAAAGAAUACAUCUCCAAUAAUAGGAUGAAAAUAGUUGUCAAAGUAUGGUGAACAAAAACUUUUUAAAAAUCUUACAUGUACACAACAUUUAAUCUGUUGCUUCGUGAAGUCAAAUUCAAGACAUCCAACCAACCAAAAUGUUGCUCAUUGCUAUGAAAGACAUUGAUAAUUUUUGUUAUGAAGAGAUAUAAUAUUCUACUGCAAAUACAUGACUGUAUAUUCAUUAGUAAGUCGUCUGACUAUUUUGUAUUUAUAUUACAUUAUUAAUGCUGAAUAAAUAUUAUAUAUUCUUUGU